GCGAUUGGUCAACUGAUGCUUGUGAGAAAUAAGAGUCAUUAGUUUCUGUAAAUUCAAAAAGGAAUGUAACAAAUGUUGAUGACUAAUUUCAGGGAAAGCUACAGUGGGGACAAGAAAUAGGGGUGAAAAGGCUUUCAAGAAGUUCUGGGCAAGGACUAGAAGAAUUCAAAAACGAGAUUGCAUUAAUUGGAAAACUCCAACAUAUGAAUCUUGUUAGACUGCUUGGUUGUUGCAUUCAAGGAGAGGAAAAGAUACUGAUUUAUGAGUAUAUGCCCAAUAAAAGCUUGGAUUCCUUCCUCUUUGAUCCAGCUAAAAAAGAGCUACUGCAUUGGGGGAAACGCAUCCACAUCAUCGAAGGGAUUGCUCAAGGCCUUCUUUAUCUUCACAAGUACUCCAGAUUAAAAGUCAUUCAUAGAGAUCUAAAAACCAGCAAUAUUUUGUCAGAUGAUGCAAUGAACCCUAAAAUAUCAGAUUUCGGAAUGGCCCGGAUUUUCAGAAACAAUGACUCCAUAGAAACCACAAAACAUAGUAAGUAAAACUGAUCCAAACUUUAUUUGACUUACAUUUUUCUCUUCAUUCAACAUAGUUGGUGUGGUACUAAAACUUGUUCAAUGAUGUAAUCCAGUGGUUAUAUGUCUCCUGAGUAUGCUUUGAAGGGCCUUUUUAAAAUAAAAUCUGACGUCUACAGCUUUGGAGUUAUACUA